CCUACGGGAGGCAGCAGUGGGGAAUCUUGCGCAAUGGGCGAAAGCCUGACGCAGCGACGCCGCGUGGGGGAUGAAGCUUUUCGGAGUGUAAACCCCUUUCGACCGGGACGAAUGCCCGCAAGGGAGUGACGGUACCGGUAGAAGAAGCCCCGGCUAACUACGUGCCAGCAGCCGCGGUAAGACGUAGGGGGCCAGCGUUGUUCGGAAUUACUGGGUGUAAAGGGUUCGUAGGCGGUGUGGCAAGUCGGGAGUGAAAUUUCUGGGCUUAACUCACAGGCUGCUUCCGAAACUGCUGUGCUCGAGUGUGGGAGAGGCGCGUGGAAUUGCAGGUGUAGCGGUGAAAUGCGUAGAUAUCUGCAGGAACACCCGUGGCGAAAGCGGCGCGCUGGACCACUACUGACGCUGAGGAACGAAAGCUAGGGGAGCAAACAGGAUUAGAUACCCUGGUAGUCCUAGCCCUAAACGAUCAGGACUUGGGGUGCCACCCGUUCGGGUGUCGUCCCGGAGCUAACGCGUUAAGUCCUGCACCUGGGGAGUACGGUCGCAGGCUGAAACUCAAGGAAUUGACGG
rnacentral:rRNA from 1 species